CGCCUUGCCAGCCCGCUCAGAACUUAAAGGAAUUGACGGGGCCCGCACAAGCGGUGGAGCAUGUGGUUUAAUUCGAUGCAACGCGAAGAACCUUACCUGGUCUUGACAUCCCGGAGACCCUUAGGAAACUAGGGGGUGCUUCCAUCUGGAAGAAUCUGGAGACAGGUGCUGCAUGGCUGUCGUCAGCUCGUGUCGUGAGAUGUUGGGUUAAGUCCCGCAACGAGCGCAACCCUUGCCUUUAGUUGCCAGCAGUUCGGCUGGGCACUCUAAAGGGACUGCCGGUGUUAAACCGGAGGAAGGUGGGGAUGACGUCAAGUCCUCAUGGCCUUUAUGACCAGGGCUACACACGUACUACAAUGGCCGAUACAAAGGGCAGCGACACUGCGAGGUGAAGCCAAUCCCGUAAAAUCGGUCUCAGUCCGGAUUGGAGUCUGCAACUCGACUCCAUGAAGUUGGAAUCGCUAGUAAUCGUGGAUCAGCAUGCCACGGUGAAUACGUUCCCGGGCCUU
rnacentral:rRNA from 1 species